GAUGAACGCUGGCGGCGUGCCUAAUACAUGCAAGUCGAGCGAACAGACGAGGAGCUUGCUCCUUUGACGUUAGCGGCGGACGGGUGAGUAACACGUGGAUAACCUACCUAUAAGACUGGGAUAACUUCGGGAAACCGGAGCUAAUACCGGAUAACAUGUUGAACCGCAUGGUUCAACAGUGAAAGACGGUCUUGCUGUCACUUAUAGAUGGAUCCGCGCCGCAUUAGCAAGUUGGUAAGGUAACGGCUUACCAAGGCAACGAUGCGUAGCCGACCUGAGAGGGUGAUCGGCCACACUGGAACUGAGACACGGUCCAGACUCCUACGGGAGGCAGCAGUAGGGAAUCUUCCGCAAUGGGCGAAAGCCUGACGGAGCAACGCCGCGUGAGUGAAGAAGGUCUUCGGAUCGUAAAACUCUGUUAUUAGGGAAGAACAAAUGUGUAAGUAACUAUGCACGUCUUGACGGUACCUAAUCAGAAAGCCACGGCUAACUACGUG
rnacentral:rRNA from 1 species